GCCAGCGUGGAAUAGUGGUUUCAAUGUUAGACUAUGACUUUGAAGACCAGGGUUCAAUUCCCAGCUUGGCC